rnacentral:lncRNA from 1 species
GACCUGCCAUCUUGUUGGGACUUAUGAUAGAGAGACUGUAUCAUGCAUUAACUGCAUCUAGAGGUUCAUCUUUUAUUAUGUCGGAUUGUCACUACAUACUGCUAGGUGUCACUGAUAGAUUGUGAGACUCAUAAGGAUCAUCUUGAUGAUCAAUGAUCCUUGAUGGGUAGAAUUGGAAUUAUUCUAACUCAUUGAAAAGAGUUUAAUAAUAUUGUGAUAGAGAUCAUAAUA